GAGGGUGUAGCUCGACUGGUAGAGCACAUGCUUAGCGUGCACAAGGACCUGGGCUCAAUCCCUGGUACCUUCU
rnacentral:tRNA from 1 species